rnacentral:lncRNA from 12 species
AUGCAGCUAAGUGGGCUUUCCUGCCGGGCCCCUUCCUUCCGUGCGCCCAUCAGAGGGGCCCGAAGGCUGCUCCCGGGCGCAGACCCACCGGAGCCGGCCAGGUGCAGGCUGCGGGGCGGGUCCCGGGCCCAGGCGGCGGCCGCGGCGUCUUACCGGCGGCCCGGAGGGCGGCCCCGCGAGGCUGUGCCCGGGGCCUGCGGGCGGCUGGUUCGCGUUCCCGGGGCGCGGCUCUCGGCGGGCGCGGCGGGGCUCCGGGGCAGGGGAGCCGAGGCCCGGGGCGGCGGCGGCCAGCAGGGCGGCCCAGGCGAGCAGCAGGCGGGCCCCGGCGGGGCGGCGGGCGCGGGCCAUGCGGGCGGCGGGCGCGGGAUGCGGGACGCGGGGCGCGGGCGCGGGGCGGGCGUGGGAGCCGCUGGGCUCCCUCCGCGCCUUAUAACGCGCUCGAAUCCCCCGCCUCGCCCGCCGCCGCUCGGCCCCGCGCCCCCUGGCGGCCCCGGUGCGCGCUCGCGGUCGCUGGGCGGGGUGUGCGCGGGGGCGGGGGGGGACGUGUCCGCCUCUGCCCGUGUGCGCGCGUGUGUGCGUGUGUGCAAACGUGUCUGCCUCUGCCCGUGUGCGUGUGUGCCCCUGUGUGCGCGUGCAAACGCGUCUGCCUCUGUGCCCGUGUGCUCGUGUGUGCGCGCGCGUGUGUGUGCCUGGGUAUGUGGGGGGGGGAGGCGCGGCCGCGAGGCGGGGCUGCGGGCCGGGUGCAGGGCGGGCGCGGGGCGGGGGUGCGGGUGCGGGUUCGAGGAGGGACCACGGGGCGAACUGGGGCGCGGGAGGCAAGGGCUGGGGGCCGGUGGCGUUGGCCGGAGCGCCCCGUCCUGCGGAGGGGCCUGCGCACCGCGUCCAGCUCUUCCCCGGAGAGCCUGGACCCCCCCUGCCCUCUUGACACCCCUUCCUCUAGGGGGAGCCGGUGGCCUCGGUCCUCUGAGCCCGGGGGCAUCCCUUCUCCCCCCGUGGGGUCUGCUCUGCCGCCUGGGGGGACCAUGA